rnacentral:misc_RNA from 1 species
GAUGAAGAACGUAGCGAAAUGCGAUACUUGGUGUGAAUUGCAGAAUCCCGUGAACCAUCGAGUCUUUGAACGCAAGUUGCGCCCGAAGCCAUCAGGUUGAGGGCACGUCUGCCUGGGCGUCACAUAUCGUUGCCCAAUGCCUAUUGCCGUGCAAUAGGAAUUUCUAGGGCGAAUGAUGGCUUCCCGUGAGCGUUGUUGCCUCGCGGUUGGUUGAAAAUCGAGUCCUUGGUAGGGUGUGCCAUGGUAGAUGGUGGUCGAGUUAGAACGAUACCGAUCAUGUGCAUGCUCCCCAAAAUAUGGCCUCUAUGACCCACACGCGUCUUUUGACGCUCAUGACGAGACCUCAGGUCAGGCGGGGCUACCCGCUGAAUUUAAGCAUAUCAAUAAGCGGAGGA